ACUUGUUUUAGUUAUAAUGUUUUGAUUUUUGUUCGGCAGUUGAUGGAUCCAAGAGUUAUAUGUACGAGCAGUUAUGGAAACUCUGUGCGGGACCUUUGUGUGAUAUUCCAAAACUUGGAGAAAAGGUUUAUUACUUUCCUCAAGGCCAUAUAGAGCUUGUGAGUUCUCUCUCUCUAUAUUCUUUCUCUCUUCUUUCUCUCUCUCUCUCUCUCUCUCUCUCUC
rnacentral:sRNA from 1 species